UACGGAGGGGGACUAGCGUUGUUCGGAAUUACUGGGCGUAAAGCGCACGUAGGCGGAUUUGUAAGUCAGGGGGUGAAAUCCCGGGGGCUCAACCUCGGAACUGCCUUUUGAUACUGCAAAAUCUCGAGUCCGGAAGAGGUGAGUGGAAUUCCUAGUGUAGAGGUGAAAUUCGUAGAUAUUAGGAAGAACACCAGUGGCGAAGGCGGCUCACUGGUCCGGUACUGACGCUGAGGUGCGAAAGCGUGGGGAGCAAACAGGG
rnacentral:rRNA from 1 species